GACGAACGCUGGCGGCGUGCCUAAUACAUGCAAGUAGAACGCUGAAGGAAGGAGCUUGCUCUUUCUGGAUGAGUUGCGAACGGGUGAGUAACGCGUAGGUAACCUGCCUGGUAGCGGGGGAUAACUAUUGGAAACGAUAGCUAAUACCGCAUAAAAUUGAUUAUUGCAUGAUAGUCAAUUAAAAGGUGCAACUGCACCACUACCAGAUGGACCUGCGUUGUAUUAGCUAGUUGGUGGGGUAACGGCUCACCAAGGCGACGAUACAUAGCCGACCUGAGAGGGUGAUCGGCCACACUGGGACUGAGACACGGCCCAGACUCCUACGGGAGGCAGCAGUAGGGAAUCUUCGGCAAUGGACGGAAGUCUGACCGAGCAACGCCGCGUGAGUGAAGAAGGUUUUCGGAUCGUAAAGCUCUGUUGUAAGAGAAGAACGAGUGUGAGAGUGGAAAGUUCGCACUGUGACGGUAUCUUACCAGAAAGGGACGGCUAACUACGUG
rnacentral:rRNA from 1 species